rnacentral:rRNA from 1 species
GCUAGCUACAGGCUUAACACAUGCAAGUCGAGGGGCAGCAUGGUCUUAGCUUGCUAAGGCCGAUGGCGACCGGCGCACGGGUGAGUAACACGUAUCCAACCUGCCGUCUACUCUUGGACAGCCUUCUGAAAGGAAGAUUAAUACAAGAUGGCAUCAUGAGUCCACAUGUUCACAUGAUUAAAGGUAUUCCGGUAGACGAUGGGGAUGCGUUCCAUUAGAUAGUAGGCGGGGUAACGGCCCACCUAGUCUUCGAUGGAUAGGGGUUCUGAGAGGAAGGUCCCCCACAUUGGAACUGAGACACGGUCCAAACUCCUACGGGAGGCAGCAGUGAGGAAUAUUGGUCAAUGGGCGAGAGCCUGAACCAGCCAAGUAGCGUGAAGGAUGACUGCCCUAUGGGUUGUAAACUUCUUUUAUAAAGGAAUAAAGUCGGGUAUGCAUACCCGUUUGCAUGUACUUUAUGAAUAAGGAUCGGCUAACUCCGUGCCAGCAGCCGCGGUAAUACGGAGGAUCCGAGCGUUAUCCGGAUUUAUUGGGUUUAAAGGGAGCGUAGAUGGAUGUUUAAGUCAGUUGUGAAAGUUUGCGGCUCAACCGUAAAAUUGCAGUUGAUACUGGAUAUCUUGAGUGCAGUUGAGGCAGGCGGAAUUCGUGGUGUAGCGGUGAAAUGCUUAGAUAUCACGAAGAACUCCGAUUGCGAAGGCAGCCUGCUAAGCUGCAACUGACAUUGAGGCUCGAAAGUGUGGGUAUCAAACAGGAUUAGAUACCCUGGUAGUCCACACGGUAAACGAUGAAUACUCGCUGUUUGCGAUAUACGGCAAGCGGCCAAGCGAAAGCGUUAAGUAUUCCACCUGGGGAGUACGCCGGCAACGGUGAAACUCAAAGGAAUUGACGGGGGCCCGCACAAGCGGAGGAACAUGUGGUUUAAUUCGAUGAUACGCGAGGAACCUUACCCGGGCUUAAAUUGCAGAUGAAUUACGGUGAAAGCCGUAAGCCGCAAGGCAUCUGUGAAGGUGCUGCAUGGUUGUCGUCAGCUCGUGCCGUGAGGUGUCGGCUUAAGUGCCAUAACGAGCGCAACCCUUGUUGUCAGUUACUAACAGGUUCCGCUGAGGACUCUGACAAGACUGCCAUCGUAAGAUGUGAGGAAGGUGGGGAUGACGUCAAAUCAGCACGGCCCUUACGUCCGGGGCUACACACGUGUUACAAUGGGGGGUACAGAGGGCCGCUACCACGCGAGUGGAUGCCAAUCCCCAAAACCUCUCUCAGUUCGGACUGGAGUCUGCAACCCGACUCCACGAAGCUGGAUUCGCUAGUAAUCGCGCAUCAGCCACGGCGCGGUGAAUACGUUCCCGGGCCUUGUACACACCGCCCGUCAAGCCAUGGGAGCCGGGGGUACCUGAAGUGCGUAACCGCGAGGAGCGCCCUAGGGUAAAACUGGUGACUGGGGC